rnacentral:misc_RNA from 1 species
GUGCGUAGGCACUUGAUAACUGUGCAUAUGACAGAUAGAUAUAAAGGUUAGGUCAUUAUAAUUGUUUACGUUUGUAAUCCAGUUGUCAUUUUAUUAGUUUGAUCAACGCAACCUACAACAGAUGUUGUGUCCGGAAAUUCAGAUACGAUUUCGUUGUCACUAUUGUUUUAUUGAAAUUCUGUAUUCAUGACUGGAAAUUCAAUUUAGAAGUGCACUGAAGUCUCGUAGCUCGUGUCGGAAUAAAGCGAAUGUUUAUAGUGGUACAUAUUGCAUUGUGAGGUACCUAUAGGUGCUGGAUAUCAAAAUGAAAGGAGAACUCCCAGUGUGUACAAGAUGUUGCUUCUGUUUUCCGCUGCGAAGGGGUCUGCUCGCGUGGGGAUACAUAAAACUAAUAGCUGACUUUAUAUUCAUACUGAUGAUGCUGUAUAUAGUCCUCAUUAUGAUCUUGUUAAUCAGAGCUUUUACCGAUGGAAGCUUUUGGGCGAUGAUGUGUUCAGAAGUUAUUAUGGGAUCAAUUGGAAUUCUUAUAUGCUUAGUAGAUAUUGCGAUUACCAUCGUGUUCAUUGUUGGAGGACAUACGAAAAACGUGAA